UACGUAGGUGGCAAGCGUUGUCCGGAAUUAUUGUGCGUAAAGCGCGCGCAGGCGGUCCUUUAAGUCUGAUGUGAAAGCCCACGGCUCAACCUUUGAAAGCCGAUGGAUACUGUGAGGCUAGAGUCCGGAAGAGGCGAGUGGAAUUCCUGGUGUAGCGGUGGAAUGCGCAGAUAUCAGGAGGAACACCAAUAGCGAAGGCAGCUCGCUGGGACGGUACUGACGCUAAGGCGCGAAAGCGUGGGGAGCGAACAGG
rnacentral:rRNA from 1 species